UAAUUUUUCUUUGCCAUAUGACUUUUCAACGUUAAAGUAUUUUCUUGGUUGAAAUUUUCUGACUUUUUUAUGGAAAUGUUUUCUUCCUUCUUGCCAGUAAAUGGAUCUCUGGAUGCGGCCAGAUUCCCCGUCAGUGUUUUUGUUUUCCUGCUGUCGGACGGCCGUCGGCUGCAGACGGAACAUGCGCCGCUUUUUGUCGCGGCCGCUCAGCCCUGCUGUCCGUCAGCGCCGGGCCCGACGGAACCGAGCCCGACGGAACCGAGCCACGGAUCGCUGCCUGGAAGACGGAGCAGACGAGGGACUGAGAGCGGCUCACGUCUUCCUCACCGUAGGAUGAGUCAUCCUCGGCACUGCGCUGUGAAUGAAGCGGGACGGGGAGGGGACGCCUGCAGGGAGGAGGAGAAGAGUUUCUGUCAAUGAGAGAGGGAGGAGGAAUGGAGGGAUGAUGAUGUCAGAGGGAGAGAUGAGUGGAUGUGAUGAGGAAACAGCUGGUGGAGGAGAACAAUUCAACCAAUCAGAUCCAAACAGGGAGGAGGAAAGGAAAGAAGGAAGAGAAUUAGGACACAAUGAGGGUCAGAACAGAGGUAAGGAAGGAAGGGAGCGAGGAGAGAAUUAGGAUACAAUGAAGGAAGAAAAAACAAGGAAAGGACCACAAAAAUAAAAAACAGAGUGAAGGAAGGAAAGACAAAGAAGAGAAUUAGGACACAAGGAAGGAAGGAGGAAAAUCAAGGAAAGAAGGACACAGAAAAGGGAGAGAACAGAGGAAAUGAAGAAAAGGAGGAAGGAUACAGAGGAGGGACAAAAUGAAGGAAGGGAAAUAAGGAUGGAAGGAAAAACAAUUAGGACACAAAUUCCUUACCUUCUUUCCAGAGGUAAGGAAGGUAGGACACAAAGAAGGAAAGGGACAAAACAAAAGGAGGGAGUAAGGAUGCAAAGGGAGGAAUGAGGGAAGGAAGAGAAUUAGGACACAAUAAGGAUGAGAACUGAGGUAAGAAAUAAAGGAUGGAGAGAAGGAAACAGUCAAAAAGAAGGAUGCAAGGAACAGAUGAAGUUAGGACACAGUGAAGGAGAGAACAAGAGGAAGGAAGGAGUUGGGACACCAUGGAGGCGAGGACAGAAGGAAGGAAGAGAGCGGCUGUAAUAUACCAUCUUAUCUUUAAAGCUGUCUGUGCGUUUAGAGGUCAAAGAUCAGCAUCACAGGGUUACAUCCUCCGCUCUGAUUGGAAAAGACGAGUUAGACGGAUGUACACUUCACCUCCGCUGUGAAGGUCGGAGGAGGCGUGGCGCGUGAUCCUCCGUCAUUUAAGGCAGAGCUGCUCAUCCACGACCUCUGCAGAGGUCACCGCCGCAGUCCCAGAAGCCCCCAGGCCUCUGAAGGAGCAUCGAUCACCACCAGCCUCUGUUCUCACACCCAGAUGCUGUGAGGACAGGAUGCACAGGAUGCGGCCACCGCUUUU